GCCAUAAUUACAUCUGUGUUUGAGAGUCGGUGCCGUCUGAUUCUAACAAUUCUCUGGAUCACUGUGACUCUCCUCAUCGCCAUCUACAUACCAGACAUGAGUGAGGCCAUCAGCGUAAUCGGGGGAAUUAGCGCUUUCUUUCUUUCUUUUUCCUGGGCUGUGUCUCAUUUUUUCCAUGCAGACAGAGCCUAUAAAUCGCAGGAUCAGAGCUCUCUUGACAGGGUGGGGUGUGGUGACUGUCGUUACUGGAGCUUUUAUCUUUGGCCAGAGCACAUCUAUAGCUGUUAUGGAGCUGAUGCACAAGUUUUAAUUUACGUCAUGGUCUUCAUCAUUUGGAAUAUCAUUGUCUUGACAAAAUGUGUUUAUAUAUUUGAUUGAUGAAUGAUAAACCGUAUGAUACUUGAAACUGGGGAAGAGUAGCAGCUACAUGUUUUAGAAGAAAAUGUCACACCACAGUGCCUUAUGCUUGUAUUGCUGUUACUGCUCAGUUUUAUAUGUUGUGUGUGUUUGUGCGUGUGUGACUAAGAAAAUGUGUUGGAGGAUUUUUGUUUAUAUAUUUAUUAUAUUG